UUUGUUGGCUGAGGAGGAACUGGGCUCCGUGAGCAUGUUGCAGGUGGUGGGGCAGAGACGCGAAUGAAGUACUUCAGGGUUCCUAACAUUGGAAGAACAGAGAGGAUUACAAGGGUCAAGGACAUAGCGAACACACUGAAGAGUAUGAUAUCUGAAGACAACAAUUGCAGCCUUAUCUUGUUUAGUUAAUAUAACAACCUGCAGACAAUUUAGGUUUUUGAAAAA